GACGAACGCUGGCGGCGUGCUUAACACAUGCAAGUCGAACGGAAAGGCCCUGCUUUUGUGGGGUGCUCGAGUGGCGAACGGUUGAGUAACACGUGAGUAACCUGCCCUUGACUUUGGGAUAACUUCAGGAAACUGGGGCUAAUACCGGAUAGGAGCUCCUGCUGCAUGGUGGGGGUUGGAAAGUUUCGGCGGUUGGGGAUGGACUCGCGGCUUAUCAGCUUGUUGGUGGGGUAGUGGCUUACCAAGGCUUUGACGGGUAGCCGGCCUGAGAGGGUGACCGGCCACAUUGGGACUGAGAUACGGCCCAGACUCCUACGGGAGGCAGCAGUGGGGAAUAUUGCACAAUGGGCGGAAGCCUGAUGCAGCAACGCCGCGUGCGGGAUGACGGCCUUCGGGUUGUAAACCGCUUUCGCCUGUGACGAAGCGUGAGUGACGGUAAUGGGUAAAGAAGCACCGGCUAACUACGU
rnacentral:rRNA from 1 species